ACGUAGGGUGCAAGCGUUAAUCGGAAUUACUGGGCGUAAAGCGUGCGCAGGCGGUUUUGUAAGACAGAGGUGAAAUCCCCGGGCUCAACCUGGGAACUGCCUUUGUGACUGCAAGGCUGGAGUGCGGCAGAGGGGGAUGGAAUUCCGCGUGUAGCAGUGAAAUGCGUAGAUAUGCGAAGGAACACCGAUGGCGAAGGCAAUCCCCUGGGCCUGUCCUGACGCUGAGACGCGAGAGCGUGGGGAGCAAACAG
rnacentral:rRNA from 1 species